AAAUUUUCGCAAUACAUACAUCACCCUUGAAAUGUGUUGGUUCCUUUGCCUUUGACACAUAUUGGACUCAUUUUUCAUUCAAAAUUAUUGCGACGACCAAAAUUGACAAGCAAUGUAAUUUCUUUCUCUUGAGAAGAAAGAAAGCAAAAGUUAAUAAACAAAUAAAAUCCACAACUCAUCACGAGGCGAACGCGUGGAACUCGGGCAGGUUGCACGCCUAUUUUCGCCACUCGGCGGCAAAAUAUUUUCCGAUCAUUUUAUUUUUAAAAUUGAAACAAACAUGAUUUCACUUUCUCAGACAAAAAUUCACAAAAAUCAAAGAGAUUAGAAUGUUUUCAUCAAUUAAAUAUGUACAACUGAUCAAAUAUUAAAAUCGAUUCAAUAAGAAAAUAAAACCAAAAAUAUUUAAACAAAAAAGUAAAAUUUGAUGAAUAAUUUGAUGAAGUGCGUCCAAAUUAUCGAGCCAACAUCACAGUUCAUCAUCAUGCGAUGAUCACGCCGUUAGUACGAAAGUUUUUCUAUAUAUUUCUCCAUAUUGGCUUAUAAACAUAGAAAAAGAUCACUAUAUCAUACUGAAUGGAAGCAGAAAUAUAGUCGAUAUUCAGGUUAAAAAAUUCCAUUAAGGAUAAAGUUAAGGAUCAGAAAAUAACAGAAGUAUCGAAGAUAAGGUUGUAGGACUAUAGAUACAAUAUGUGGCCUUGCUUCAUGGUUUGGAAGAGAAGAAUACAGUUCCAUAGAUAUACACCAUGGUGAACAAGACAAAAAAAUUAAGCUAUAAAUAUAUAAACAACUAUAAUAUUCAAAUUGUGCAGAUCUUUCCUAUACUUACCAUAAACACAUAAAGCUGUUUAUAUUCACAACUAAGAAGAGAAAGAUGUGGGAUCGUAGACACACAAAUAGAGUUAAAACUCAAGUUGUAUAGCUUUGUAUACAGUUAAAAGCAGAUGGACAUGGAGCUUAAAAAUACUUUUUUAUAAGUUCUUGGUAUACCUAUACAAUUUAAAAGAUAAGCACAAAGACGCAUGUAACCAUCAAAUAGAAACAAUAUUUAAAGUAUGGAUCUGUUUUCUUGAAAAUCUAAUUUGAAGAAGUACAAAUAAGAACAAUAUUCAAUUAAAAGAAAACAAGAAUACAGUGUCGUGGAAAUUCCGAA